rnacentral:rRNA from 1 species
AUUGAACGCUGGCGGCAGGCCUAACACAUGCAAGUCGAACGGUAACAGGAAGAAGCUUGCUUCUUUGCUGACGAGUGGCGGACGGGUGAGUAAUGUCUGGGAAACUGCCUGAUGGAGGGGGAUAACUACUGGAAACGGUAGCUAAUACCGCAUAACGUCGCAAGACCAAAGAGGGGGACCUUCGGGCCUCUUGCCAUCGGAUGUGCCCAGAUGGGAUUAGCUAGUAGGUGGGGUAACGGCUCACCUAGGCGACGAUCCCUAGCUGGUCUGAGAGGAUGACCAGCCACACUGGAACUGAGACACGGUCCAGACUCCUACGGGAGGCAGCAGUGGGGAAUAUUGCACAAUGGGCGCAAGCCUGAUGCAGCCAUGCCGCGUGUAUGAAGAAGGCCUUCGGGUUGUAAAGUACUUUCAGCGGGGAGGAAGGGAGUAAAGUUAAUACCUUUGCUCAUUGACGUUACCCGCAGAAGAAGCACCGGCUAACUACGUG